rnacentral:tmRNA from 1 species
GGGAAUGAAAGGUUUCGACAGAACUUUGACAUCAGUUGAUAUACAAGACGAGCCUGUCUUGAUCUCGUAAAUCCCAAGACAAACGUUAAACGCAAAAGCUUUAACUUCAAAGGUUAAGGACGCAUUUGCUACUGCAUUUGCUACUUCUCCUGCCACUGCUUAAGUGGCCCUGCUUAUAAGAGGUUAUCCCGGACUUAUAAGUCAGGUUUAUUCGGGGUUGCAUUUUUAUCUAGAUUGAUUUACUUUGGAUAAAAGUAAGAAAAAUGUAAAUCGACUUCGUGGAUUAUUUGUUAGUUUCUUUCCGCGUAGCUAUUAAACUAACUAAUCUUGUGAAUAAUCAACUGAUAGAUGAGCUUUGGACGGGGGUUCAAUUCCCCCCAUUUCCACCC